GACGAACGCUGGCGGCGUGCUUAACACAUGCAAGUCGAACGGAAAGGCCCUGCUUUUGUGGGGUGCUCGAGUGGCGAACGGGUGAGUAACACGUGAGUAACCUGCCCUUGACUUUGGGAUAACUUCAGGAAACUGGGGCUAAUACCGGAUAGGAGCUCCUGCUGCAUGGUGGGGGUUGGAAAGUUUCGGCGGUUGGGGAUGGACUCGCGGCUUAUCAGCUUGUUGGUGGGGUAGUGGCUUACCAAGGCUUUGACGGGUAGCCGGCCUGAGAGGGUGACCGGCCACACUGGGACUGAGAGACGGCCCAGACUCCUACGGGAGGCAGCAGUGGGGAAUAUUGCACAAUGGGCGGAAGCCUGAUGCAGCAACGCCGCGUGCGGGAUGACGGCCUUCGGGUUGUAAACCGCUUUCGCCUGUGACGAAGCGUGAGUGACGGUAAUGGGUAAAGAAGCACCGGCUAACUACGUG
rnacentral:rRNA from 1 species